CCUGACUGACCGAUAGUGAACCAGUACCGUGAGGGAAAGGCGAAAAGAACCCCGGCGAGGGGAGUGAAAAAGAACCUGAAACCGUGUACGUACAAGCAGUGGGAGCCUCUUUAUGGGGUGACUGCGUACCUUUUGUAUAAUGGGUCAGCGACUUAUAUUCUGUAGCAAGGUUAACCGUAUAGGGGAGCCGAAGGGAAACCGAGUCUUAACUGGGCGUUAAGUUGCAGGGUAUAGACCCGAAACCCGGUGAUCUAGCCAUGGGCAGGUUGAAGGUUGGGUAACACUAACUGGAGGACCGAACCGACUAAUGUUGAAAAAUUAGCGGAUGACCUGUGGCUGGGGGUGAAAGGCCAAUCAAACCGGGAGAUAGCUGGUUCUCCCCGAAAGCUAUUUAGGUAGCGCCUCGUGAACUCAUCUUCGGGGGUAGAGCACUGUUUCGGCUAGGGGGCCAUCCCGGCUUACCAACCCGAUGCAAACUACGAAUACCGAAGAAUGUUAUCACGGGAGACACACGGCGGGUGCUAACGUCCGUCGUGAAGAGGGAAACAACCCAGACCGCCAGCUAAGGUCCCAAAGUCAUGGUUAAGUGGGAAACGAUGUGGGAAGGCACAGACAGCCAGGAUGUUGGCUUAGAAGCAGCCAUCAUUUAAAGAAAGCGUAAUAGCUCACUGGUCGAGUCGGCCUGCGCGGAAGAUGUAACGGGGCUAAACCAUGCACCGAAGCUGCGGCAGCGACACUAUGUGUUGUUGGGUAGGGGAGCGUUCUGUAAGCCGUUGAAGGUGUGCUGUGAGGCAUGCUGGAGGUAUCAGAAGUGCGAAUGCUGACAUAAGUAACGAUAAAGCGGGUGAAAAGCCCGCUCGCCGGAAGACCAAGGGUUCCUGUCCAACGUUAAUCGGGGCAGGGUGAGUCGACCCCUAAGGCGAGGCCGAAAGGCGUAGUCGAUGGGAAACAGGUUAAUAUUCCUGUACUUGGUGUUACUGCGAAGGGGGGACGGAGAAGGCUAUGUCAGCCGGGCGACGGUUGUCCCGGUUUAAGCAUGUAGGCGGAGGUUCCAGGUAAAUCCGGUACCUUUUAACGCUGAGGUGUGAUGACGAGGCACUACGGUGCUGAAGUGAUAAAUGCCCUGCUUCCAGGAAAAGCCUCUAAGCAUCAGGUAACACGAAAUCGUACCCCAAACCGACACAGGUGGUCAGGUAGAGAAUACCAAGGCGCUUGAGAGAACUCGGGUGAAGGAACUAGGCAAAAUGGUGCCGUAACUUCGGGAGAAGGCACGCUGAUAGGUAGGUGAAGUCCCUGCGGACGGAGCUGAAAUCAGUCGAAGAUACCAGCUGGCUGCAACUGUUUAUUAAAAACACAGCACUGUGCAAACACGAAAGUGGACGUAUACGGUGUGACGCCUGCCCGGUGCCGGAAGGUUAAUUGAUGGGGUUAGCGGCAACGCGAAGCUCUUGAUCGAAGCCCCGGUAAACGGCGGCCGUAACUAUAACGGUCCUAAGGUAGCGAAAUUCCUUGUCGGGUAAGUUCCGACCUGCACGAAUGGCGUAAUGAUGGCCAGGCUGUCUCCACCCGAGACUCAGUGAAAUUGAACUCGCUGUGAAGAUGCAGUGUACCCGCGGCAAGACGGAAAGACCCCGUGAACCUUUACUAUAGCUUGACACUGAACACUGGUCCUUGAUGUGUAGGAUAGGUGGGAGGCUUUGAAGCGUGGACGCCAGUCUGCGUGGAGCCA
rnacentral:rRNA from 1 species